GAUGAACGCUGGCGGUGUGCCUAACACAUGCAAGUCGAACGGACAGACGAGAAGCUCGUUCCUUUAACGGUAGCGGCGGGCGGGUGGGUGACGCGUACAUAGCCUACCUCUAUUACUGGGAGGAUUUCGGGAGACAGGUUCCACUACUACCGAAUACAUUCAACCGGUUGAAUCAGGGGUGAUUGACGGCUUUGCUGUUUCUAAUAGCUGAUUCCGUGUCGCAUUAGCUAGUUGGUAAGGUAACGGCCCACCAAGGCGACGAUGCGUAGCUGACCUGAGAGGAUGAUCAGCCACACUGGAACUGAGACACGGUCCAGACUCCUACGGGAGGCAGCAGUGGGGAAUAUUGGACAAUGGGCGCAAGCCUGAUCCAGCCAUACCGCGUGGGUGAAGAAGGCCUUCGGGUUGUAAAGCCCUUUUGUUGGGAAAGAAAAGCAGCAGGUUAAUACCCCGCUGUUCUGACGGUACCCAAAGAAUAAGCACCGGCUAACUUCGUG
rnacentral:rRNA from 1 species